GACGAACGCUGGCGGCGUGCUUAACACAUGCAAGUCGAACGGAAAGGCCCUGCUUUUGUGGGGUGCUCGAGUGGCGACCGGGUGAGUAACACGUGAGUAACCUGCCCUUGACUUUGGGAUAACUUCAGGAAACUGGGGCUAAUACCGGAUAGGAGCUCCUGCUGCAUGGUGGGGGCUGGAAAGUUUCGGCGGUUGGGGAUGGACUCGCGGCUUAUCAGCUUGUUGGUGGGGUAGUGGCUUACCAAGGCUUUGACGGGUAGCCGGCCUGAGAGGGUGACCGGCCACAUUGGGACUGAGAUACGGCCCAGACUACUACGGGAGGCAGCAGUGGGGAAUAUUGAACAAUGGGCGGAAGCCUGAUGUAGCAACGCCGCGUGCGGGAUGACGGCCUUCGGGUUGUAAACCGCUUUCGCCUGUGACGAAGCGUGAGUGACGGUAAUGGGUAAAGAAGCACCGGCUAACUACGUG
rnacentral:rRNA from 1 species